rnacentral:misc_RNA from 1 species
GGAAGGAUCAUUACCGAAAAGUACAAAAACAAACAAAAAAAGGCUCUAAAGAGGCUAGACGACCAAGUUUCAUGAAUUUUGUGCUUGUGUUGUUCCUCUUUUAGAUGCACUUGUUUGAGCAGAUAAACGGCACUCUGCGGAGUUAUGUCGCUGUUUUCUGCAAAAAUUGCCAAGUCUUUCACAUGCACUUUACACCUUGUGUGUGGGUGUGUGUUGAGAGCAGAGCAAGAAACUUACUAAAAACUUUGUAAAAAGAAUAAAAACCUUUGAACUGACAAUUUUGUAAAAAGCAUAAAACUAUUGAAAAAAAGACACAAAAGAUAACCUCGAGUGGUGGAUCACUCGGCUCGUGGGUCGAUGAAGAACGCAGCUAACUGCGUGCAGACGUGUGAACUGCAGGACACAUGAACACCGACGUUUUGAACGCAUAUGGCGGCCUGAAAUAAAUUUCAGGCCAUGUCUGGCUGAGGGUCGGAUAUGAAAAUAAACCAAAGGUUGCCGAAAGGCACUUUUCGCCUAUGUUCCAUCUCUCUCUAUCUUCUGAUGAGAGAGUGGAGCUAGGUUAGUUGACGCAGCACAAAAAAAAGAGCAGAAAUGUCUUUCUUGCCAAGUGCCAGUACAAGUACUGAGAUAAGGUAUCUUCUCCAAGUCUUGUGAGUGCCAAUAGUGCAGAGAGAGCUGACUCUAUUGAAUGGCUGCAUAUUACUUUUCUAAGUAAUUAUUCAUAUCAUUGUUGCGACCUCAGAGCAGGCAAGACUACCCGCUAAAUUUAAGCAUAUUAAUAAGCGGAGGAAAAGAAACUAACAAGGAUUUCCUUAGUAACGGCGAGCGAAAAGGAAAGAGUCCAGCGCUGAAUCUGGCAUCCCUCGGGUGUCAUGACAUGUGGCGUUUGGGACGAAACAUUGCCUGUGCAUGAUGGUUAUCCAAGUCCCUCUUGAACGGGGCCAUUGCCCAUGGAGGGUGCUAGGCCCGUACGAUAACUUUGUUGUGCAGUGCGUUUCGUCCGUAGAGUCGGGUUGCUUGGGAGUGCAGCCCAAAUCAGGUGGUAAACUCCAUCUAAGACUAAAUAUGACCACGAGACCGAUAGCGAACAAGUACCGUGAGGGAAAGUUGAAAAGAACUUUGAAGAGAGAGUUCAAUAGUACGUGAAACCUCUCGGGGGUAAGCGGGCAGAACUUGCAAGUAUUGGUGGGAGAUUCAGGCUUGGAGAUGGUGACUGAGUGGAUGUUUUUAUGUCGAGCUUCGGCGAGACUGAUGUGUUCGCUUAGUUUUACUGUCGACGCGCCGCAUUUCUCCUUGCCAAGCGGGUUACGUGCAACUAAAAUGGUAUUUUAGGUGCUGGGUGUCUGCGAAAGCACUUUGUGUUUUUGAGCCCUGGAUUCCGAAUACUUUUGUGGUUGUUGAAUUAUGGCGAGCAGGCGUUUGCCGCGGUCAAUGCUUCUGGCGAGUAGGGUGCGUGCGAUAUGUGGACGGGUAACCGUAGCAUGUUGUACGUGCUGAUUGUCGGUCGGAGGUAUUUUGGCCCUGCUCAAGAAUCUGUAACCUAAAACCUGUGUGGUCUGCCUGUCCCGUCUUGAAACACGGACCAAGGAGUCUAACAUGUACGCGAGUCAUUGAGAAAUGAAACUCAAAGGCGUAAUGAAAGUGAAGGUUCCUUUUAUAGGAACUGAGGAGAGAUCAAGUCAUGGCUCGAGAUGUUGAAAGACUUGUUGAGUUGAAUGUAUGCGCAUCUCCUGGACGUCUAUACCUUCGAAGGUGGGGCGUACCUAGAGCGUACACGUUGGGACCCGAAAGAUGGUGAACUAUGCCUGGUCAGAACGAAGCCAGGGGAAACCCUGGUGGAGGUUCGUAGCGAUUCUGACGUGCAAAUCGAUCGUCGGAACUGGGUAUAGGGGCGAAAGACUAAUCGAACCAUCUAGUAGCUGGUUCCUUC